rnacentral:rRNA from 1 species
CAGCAGCCACGGUAAUGCGUAGGUGGCAAGCGUUGUCCGGAAUUAUUGGGCGUAAAGGGCUCGCAGGCGGUUUCUUAAGUCUGAUGUGAAAGCCCCCGGCUCAACCGGGGAGGGUCAUUGGAAACUGGGAAACUUGAGUGCAGAAGAGGAGAGUGGAAUUCCACGUGUAGCGGUGAAAUGCGUAAAGAUGUGGAGGAACACCAGUGGCGAAGGCGACUCUCUGGUCUGUAACUGACGCUGAGGAGCGAAAGCGUGGGGAGCGAACAGGAUUAGAUACCCCGGUAGUCCCUGUCUCUUAUAC